rnacentral:rRNA from 1 species
UACGGGGGGAGCAAGCGUUGUUCGGAUUUACUGGGCGUAAAGGGCGCGCAGGCGGCGCAUUUUGUCAGGCGUGAAAGCCCCGGGCUUAACCUGGGAACUGCGUUUGAUACGGAUGGGCUAGAGUUCGGGAGAGGAGAGUGGAAUUCCCAGUGUAGAGGUGAAAUUCGUAGAUAUUGGGAAGAACACCCGUGGCGAAGGCGGUUCUCUGGCCCGGAACUGACGCUGAGGUGCGAAAGCGUGGGGAGCAAACAGG